rnacentral:lncRNA from 1 species
AUAAUAUAUGCUAAAAAAAAGGUGUUUUAAUAGCUUAUUAAUCUAUACAAUAUAUAACUUCCCCUUUAAACAAUACCAUUUACUUCUGCUCCAUAUCUUCCCAGAGUUGCUUCAUCUUCUACUUGGUGGACUACAAGCCCCUCAGGUUUAAAUGGUGGUACGUGUAGCCAGACUGGGCCUUUGCACUGGGCUGGGCCAUGGCCCUCUCCUCCAACCUCCUGGUGCCACUGUGAUCGAUUGGCAGGAUCUAUGUUGGCACAGGCCGCCUCAGGCAGGACUACCUGGCCUGAUGACUCCUUGCUGUCCCCAGUCCACCUGGUUGUGCUGCUACUCCAGUUUCAACUGUUCUGCCUGCGGCUAUGGAACCCUGACCUGUUCACCGGAAUUGCUACCUUGUCCCAGACCUGC